UUAAUUUGACUCAACACCGGGAAACUCACCCGGUCCGGACACUGGAAGGAUUGACAGAUUAAAAGCUCUUUCUUGAUUCAGUGGGUGGUGGUGCAUGGCCGUUCUUAGUUGGUGGAGUGAUUUGUCUGGUUAAUUCCGAUAACGAACGAGACUCUAGCCUGCUAACUAGUUCGCCGGCAGCUCUUGUCGCGCGGCGCCGCUUCGGCGGCAAACUUCUUAGAGGGACAGGUGGCGUUUAGCCACACGAAGUAGAGCAAUAACAGGUCUGUGAUGCCCUUAGAUGUCCGGGGCCGCACGCGCGCUACACUGAAAGAAUCAACGUGGAUGCCCACCUGCUCCGAGAGGAGUGGGAAACCCGAUGAAUCUCUUUCGUGAUGGGGAUUGGGGCUUGUAAUUGUUCCCCAUGAACGAGGAAUUCCCAGUAAGCGUCAGUCAUCAGCUGGCGCUGAUUACGUCCCUGCCCUUUGUACACACCGCCCGUCGCUACUACCGAUUGAAUGGUUUAGUGAGACCCUCGGACUGGAGUCCGUCCGCCGCUUUCGGGUGGUGGAUGGGGACGGAAAGACGGUCGAACUUGAUCAUUU
rnacentral:rRNA from 1 species